CUCUGUCUAUCAUCAGAGUUUUUUCGGAUCGCCAUAUUAUUCCCGGAUAUUAGGUUGCCACUUGGUGUUAGGAGCCGAGAGAGGUUGUACAAACCUAAGUAAUAUACCAAAAUAUUCAUCAUGUCCUCUUUGCACGAUAUCUUUUACCUGGACUGGGCUAAAAUUCUUAAAGAUUCCAAAUUUUCGGUGGAAUAUUUAAAAACUUGGUUGGUCACAAUGGGUUAAGCGUUCUCUGGCCAUGAUAUUACAAGCUAGGACCCUCACAUACGCUACCUUCAAAUGCUUCCUUUAAUUUGUUUGUGCCUAAAAUAAGGUUUGGUUUGAACAAAAAAAUUCAAAAUGUAAAACGUAAGUAAGUAAGAAAUCCAACUUAAGGGUAUGCCCAUGUUGCGGGAUUGCAGCUACCGAUUCAUAACCGAUUCAAAGAGAGCGAAAAUAGAGCCUUAACCGAUUUGAAGAGAUCAAAAAGAGACGAGUGUUGUGCGCCCAAUAGAAAUUGAAUGCGCGACAAGGAUUUAAAAGCAAUCCAUUGGAAUAUGUGAUGCAAGGAAGCACGUUUUGAGAACGCGACAAUAUACGAACAUUUUUUAAAUAAACCUUCAACUCAACUCAAAACGUUGCCCC